UAAGGCGAUUGGAGAUAGUCGAUUCAGGUCAAGUCUUUUGUACGUCGAGUGGCAUCCAUAUGUAUAUAGGAACGAGAGCUCCAAUUGAACUUGAAGGUUGGUGGUUGGUAGUGCCCCCAAAAAGCUCCAAGAGAGGGAGGAUGCGGGUGCUUACGGAUACGGAUAGACCAGACUAAGUUCACCCAGGAAAGUACAGUCAUUCCCUGGAAUAGUAUCAAAUGGAAUGAAUGGAAAAUGUUGGAUAAUGGGCGGGACAAUGGGAAUGCAGCUGAAUCAAUCAACCAGAGAACAACCCCAACUUGAUUCCGUCAAAUGAAACGCCUGCAAUGAUUGAAGCCGAGUGGCGUGCAGGCUGGAGAUAGCUCUUAAUCAGAGAGAAAAUGUCAACAGUCGUCUUAGCAGCCAGCACCCAGUACCCGGCACCCAGCACCCGCUAAGGCAUGGAACUCACUCUCUCUACCUCUCUCUAUCUCGCUCAAUUCCUGAACGAGAGGAGCUCUGCCGCGUCGUUCCGGCUUGAAAUUUGCCGUCGAACAACACAGAUAAAUAAAUAAGUAAACAAGAGAGAGGAAUGCUAACCGUUUGUGUGGCCUAGUCGAAGCUUUUGAUACUCUACAGGGUAUAAUAAAUCGCAGCACUGUUAUCGCUGUCGACGUCGCCGUCGACGUUGUCUUACGCACUCAGCAUGACUCAUAUUGCGACAGAGAGAGACAGACAGACACAAGACAUACCAUAGCAUAAUAUUGCAGAAAACAAAAGAGCAGAGGCAGGAACAGGAAGGCCCAAGGAGUGCAAGAGACAGUCACAGCAGAGACUGAAAUUGAGACGAAGUCGGAGACCAUCACACAAACACACGGACAGUGGAAGGCAGGGGAAACCUGUUUCCCUCCCGCUCCCACCACCAACACAACAGCCCCCUCUUCAAAAACAUAGACAAAGUCAAAGUAUGCUAAAUCAUAUGUACAUACAUAUAAGUACUUACAGAACACAUAUCUCUCUCUCGAGCGGAUAUAAAAACACAAUCGAAACUGCAACCCUUUAUGCUACAAAUAGGAGUCUGACUUUUUGGAUUUCCAUACCUUAAAUUUCGUAUACCUUGCACAAAGGCGUGUUUAAGUGUAUGUGUGGCAGCACUGCACAGCAUGUACACACGUACUUGUUAUAUGCAUUUGUACAUAUAUUUAUAGUUAUUGUUAAAUGCAAUUGUGUUAUACUAAACCUAUAUUAAUGAUGAAUUUAAUACUUAUGACUGGAAUAUAAUAUUUAACAUGGAUGAUAUCGAUUCACAAGUAGAACAACUGCGAGCUUACACAAAAUUUCUUUAUGAAUUAAUUAAAUUAAAGAUUGCAAGCAAAGAAAAAAUCCAUGGUUCAACCAAUGUGUUGCACACAAUAUAUCGUUAAGAGACAAAACAUAUAACAAAUGGAAACCGGGGCGAAAUUUUAAAAUACACUUAUAACAGUGGCAUAUUACAGAAGUCUGGAUAC